AAGCGGAGGAAAAGAAACUAACAAGGAUUCCCCUAGUAACGGCGAGUGAACCGGGAAAAGCUCAAAUUUGAAAUCUGGCUGUCUUCGAUAGUCCGAGUUGUAAUCUAUAGAAGCGUUUUCCGUGCUGAACUGUGUCUAAGUCCCUUGGAACAGGGUAUCAAAGAGGGUGAUAAUCCCGUACUUGACACAACCAUCAGUGCUCUGUGAUACGUUCUCUACGAGUCGAGUUGUUUGGGAAUGCAGCUCAAAAUGGGUGGUAAAUUCCAUCUAAAGCUAAAUAUUGGCGAGAGACCGAUAGCGAACAAGUACCGUGAGGGAAAGAUGAAAAGCACUUUGGAAAGAGAGUUAAACAGUACGUGAAAUUGUUGAAAGGGAAACGAUUGAAGUCAGUCGUGUUCAUUGGAUUCAGCUAGUUCUUCUAGUCUACUUCCUUUGAACGGGUCAACAUCAGUUUUGUCCGGUGGAUAAAGGAUUUAGGAAUGUGACUCCCUCGGGAGUGUUAUAGCCUAGGUUCACAUACACUGGGUGAGACUGAGGACUGCAGCUCGCCUUUUGGCCGGGGUUCGCCCACGUUCGAGCUUAGGAUGUUGACAUAAUGGCUUUAAACGACCCGUCUUG
rnacentral:rRNA from 1 species